CGGGUGACCUAUCCAUGGGCAGGUUGAAGUGGAAGUAAAAUUUCAUGGAGGACCGAACCAGACGUCUGUUGAAAAAGGCGGGGAUGACCUGUGGAUAGCGGAGAAAUUCCAAUCGAACCCGGAGAUAGCUGGUUCUCCUCGAAAUAGCUUUAGGGCUAGCCUCGCAUUAGUUUACCGGAGGUAGAGCACUGAAUGGUCUAGGGGGCCUCACCGCCUACCGAAACCUAUCAAACUGCGAAUGCCGGAUAAAUGAUGUGCGGGAGUCAGGCCGCGAGAGAUAAGUUCCGCGGUCAAAAGGGGAACACCCCAGAUCGUCUGCUAAGGUCCCCAAGUACGCGUUAAGUGGGAAAGGAUGUUGGAUUGCACAGACAACCAGGAUGUUGGCUUAGAAGCAGCCACACAUUCAAAGAGUGCGUAAUAGCUCACUGGUCGAGUGAUCCAGCGCCGAAAAUGUAACGGGGCUAAAACGCGACACCGAAGCAGCGGGAUGCGUAAGCAUCGGUAGAGGAGCAUUGUGUGAGGAUAGAAGCCAGAGCGGGAGCACUGGUGGACUUCACAGAAGAGAGAAUGCCGGUAUGAGUAGCGAGACCCAUGCGAGAAACAUGGGCGUCGAAGGCCCAAGGUUUCCUGGGGAAGGUUCAUCCACCCAGGGUAAGUCGGGACCUAAGCCGAGGACUGAGGUCGUAGGCGAUGGACAGCAGGUAGAGAUUCCUGCACCACUUACACUUGUUUGACGAAGCAGUGACACAGAAGGAUAGGACGAGCGCGGUGAUGGUCAACCGCGUAGGCGGCACGAGGCUGGGGAGCAGUAAAGUACACUUCCCGUGAAGGCUGAGUGCUGACAGGACCGAAAAAGAGUAGGGAAGCGUCUGAGUUCACGCUGGCGAGAAAAGCUGCUAAGGAGAGUGUGAGUGCCCGUACCGGAAACCGACGCAGGUGGGCGAGGAGAGAAUCCUGAGACGGACGGGAGAACUCUUGUUAAGGAACUCGGCAAAAUGACCCCGUAACUUCGGGAGAAGGGGUGCCUCGAAAGAGGCCGCAGAGAAUAGUCACAAGCGACUGUUUAGCAAAAACACAGGUAUCUGCGAAAGCGAGAGCUGACGUAUAGGUGCUGACGCCUGCCCGGUGCUGGAAGGUUAAGGGGAAGUGUUAGGGGAAACCCGAAGCAGAGAACCGAAGCCCCAGUAAACGGCGGCCGUAACUAUAACGGUCCUAAGGUAGCGAAAUUCCUUGUCGGGUAAGUUCCGACCCGCACGAAUGGCGUAACGACUUGUGAGCUGUCUCAACAGGAGGCCCGGUGAAAUUGAAGUAUGUGUGAAGAUGCACAUUACCCGCGACUGGACGGAAAGACCCCGUAGAGCUUUACUGUAACCUGACAUUGGAUCUUGAUAACGGAUGCACAGGAUAGGUGGGACGCUGGGAGGUAUGGACUUUGGUCUGUACGGAGCGGACGUUGGGAUACCACUCUUCUGUUAUUGAGAUUCUAACCUCAAGCCGUAAGCCGGAUGAGAGACAGUGUCAGGCGGACAGUUUGACUGGGGCGGUCGCCUCCGAAAG
rnacentral:rRNA from 1 species